GAUGAACGCUGGCGGCGUGCCUAAUACAUGCAAGUCGAGCGAACAGACGAGGAGCUUGCUCCUCUGACGUUAGCGGCGGACGGGUGAGUAACACGUGGAUAACCUACCUAUAAGACUGGGAUAACUUCGGGAAACCGGAGCUAAUACCGGAUAAUAUAUUGAACCGCAUGGUUCAAUAGUGAAAGACGGUUUUGCUGUCACUUAUAGAUGGAUCCGCGCCGCAUUAGCUAGUUGGUAAGGUAACGGCUUACCAAGGCGACGAUGCGUAGCCGACCUGAGAGGGUGAUCGGCCACACUGGAACUGAGACACGGUCCAGACUCCUACGGGAGGCAGCAGUAGGGAAUCUUCCGCAAUGGGCGAAAGCCUGACGGAGCAACGCCGCGUGAGUGAUGAAGGUCUUCGGAUCGUAAAACUCUGUUAUUAGGGAAGAACAAAUGUGUAACUAACUAUGCACGUCUUGACGGUACCUAAUCAGAAAGCCACGGCUAACUACGU
rnacentral:rRNA from 1 species